rnacentral:pre_miRNA from 1 species
CUAUAAUUUCAUAUUACUCCACUUUUGGUCCCUCAUUUUAUGUGUCAUGUAUGCAGAUUCUGCUGACGUGGUGAAAUGAGGGACCAAAAGUGAAAGAAUCUUAAAUUACAG